CAGUCGCCGCGGGAAUACGAAGGGUGCAAGCGUUAUCCGGAUUCACUGGGUUUAAAGGGUGCGUGGGCGGGCAGGUAAGUCAGUGGUGAAAUCUUCGAGCUUAACUCGGAAACUGCCGUUGAUACUAUCUGUCUUGAAUAACGUUGAGGUGAGCGGAAUAUGUCAUGUAGCGGUGAAAUGUUUAGAUAUGACAUAGAACACCGAUUGCGAAGGCAGCUCACUAAACGCUCAUUGACGCUGAGGCACGAAAGCGUGGGGAUCAAACAGGAUUAGAUACCCCUGUAGUCCCUGUCUCUUAUAC
rnacentral:rRNA from 1 species